GUCAUAGCCGCAUCUUUCAUUUGACUUUCGUUAGUCAUUUUUCCUGUCACCACAAGACAAUAAUAUUUAGUAUUUUCAAAAUACUACUUAUAAAGUUAAGCAACUUUAAGUUUUUCUUCUUGUUUCUAGUUAACAAUGAAGUUUUAAUGACUUUCAAUUAUCAAUCGAGUGAAUUUUAAACUUGUGAUAAGGAUUUUAUGCCUUUUAAUCACUAGUUAAAUUCAAACGGAGUAGAAGGCUUAAAGCUUUAAUCUCCAAAAACAAGUAAUACAGAUUCUGAAUUUAUUCCUUAAGAUUGUUAUUUUCCUUCUACGGGUACUAGAAUCUGUAUUAAUACAACAACAACUUCAUAACAAGUUCACGUAUGAACAAGAACAAUUUUGAAGUUCUUUAACACCUUUAACACAAGAUUAUUACUAAUCUACCCAAGAAGUGUAUUAGAUAUCAGAAAAUAGAUGAAACAGAAAUUUUAGACCAAGUCCCCCGAGUUCACGGAGUGUUCUUAAGGAAUAAUUCCCCUCACUGUACGCGAGGUUAUGGAAUCUUCCUCCCGGGAUAAAAUGGUCUUCAAUCCAAUUAUAGCGGUACCUCAAAUAAUUGAAUUCCACGAACGCACUCAACGGUUCAAAUGAUCACACAGAAUAUUUUUAAGAGAAGAAGAGUUUUGUAUUUUGAAACAUUUUGUAUAUCAAACCUGUGGAUCAAAGCAGAUUUAUAUAGCCAUAACAUGUCUCUUCUGAAAAGUGGCAAUGACUCACUUUAGAGGUGUGCCUUUUCUGAAAAUUCAUGUCUGUUCAUCCAAAGGCUGUGUCUUUCAUAAUAGACCUACCAUUUCACGUGAAACAGUGUGUCAUUUCGUUGAAGGGUUGCAUCCCUUUCGAAACAGCACUUCGUUUCUGCAUGGCAUUUCAAAACAAUGCACCAGUUCAGAAAAACAGUGCAUCAGUUCACUGCAUCUGUUACUGCAUGCAUGUAUAAAUGGAGUAUCAGAUACUGCUUUAAUUCUGUUAAAUAAACUUUGUCCAAAAAAAUAGAUCUCAUCAAUCAUUUGACAAAUCCAAAUCCAAAUUUUGAAGUUAAAACCGAGCCAAGCAACGGUGACAACGCAAAACAUCUCUUAUUUCUUGCCUCACUUAACAUGUGGAAAUAUGUUUCAUAAUAUAAACACUUUAAAGCUUUUUUCUCCCACCAAUGUGGGAGAAUUUUAGUAAGUUUUCCUAUUUUGAGCACACUUUCCAUUUUGGUGUAAACUCAAUUUUCUCUUCCACUUAAUUCCCUCCAUUUUCCAUUCAAAACACACACAUAGAACCCAACAAAGAGUUGGAAAAGGACACAUUUUUGCACUUCUCAACUUUUAUCAAAAGCUUGCAUUCACCAAGUUUAAGAAUGUACCACUUAUGUUAUCCUGCAAGACCAAACGAGAGCAUAUUUGAUGCUUUCUCUGUAUCGAUACCUAAGGGAACAACGACAACUCUAGUAGGGAGAAGUGGAAGUACAAAAUCGACUGUGAUCGGUCUAAUAGUGAGGUUCUACGAUCCACAGGCUGGUGAAGUUCUAAUUGAUGGUAUAAAUAUCAAAAAAAUUUAGCUUAGGUGGAUCAGGGGGGAAAUCGGCCUUGUUAGCCAGGAACUUGUGUUAUUUGGUUCGACGAUAAAGGAUAAUAUUGCCUAUGGGAAGAAUGAUGCAACUCUUGAAGAAAUUAAAGAUGCAGUUCAACUUGCCAAUGCAUCCAAGUUCAUUGAUAAAUUGCCACAGGGAUUCAACACUAGAGUUGGCGAUCAUAGAAGUCAGUUAUCCGGAGGCCAAAAAAAAAGAAUUGUUAUUACAAGAGUUAUACUGAAGGCCCCAACAUUCUACUUCUAGAUGAAGCUACAAGUGCUCUUGAUGCGAAUCCGAAAGGAUUGUUCAAGAGACAUUGGAUAGUGUCAUGAUCAAUCGAACUACAGUAAUUGUUACACAUCGCUUGAGUACAGUUAGGAAUGCAAAUACAAUUGUACAAAAAAAAUGUGAAGUUCCAGUUAGAGCUGGAAUAAAAGAAGGGCUAUUGGGUGGUGCAGGUUAUGGUUUUCAAUAUUAUGCUUGUACUCUGUCUAUACUAUCAGCUUUUACGCUGGUGCUCAGUUGGUUGAGUCCGGUAAGGUCACAUUUGCUGAGGCAUUUCGGGUAAGUCUCGAGAGCUAAAGAUAAAGCUUGUGUCAAGACUCUCGUUACAAGUUCCUUCUCUGUCGUUUCAAUUUUCCUAGUUUUGGAUUUCAGAUUUUCUAUGGUGUUAGCUUGACAGCUACCGUGAUUUCUCAAUCAGGAGGCCUUGUUCCUGACUCCACCGAAGCCAAAACUGGUGCCUCUUCAAUCGUUGCACUCUUUGACCGACAAUCCAAGAUAGAUUCGAGCAAUAACUCAGGAAUGACAUUAGUGCUUAUUCAAGUAAGUUUUUCUUGUAGAAACUAUACGAGGAUGCGAGUCAAGUUGCUAGUGAAGCAGUUGGAAGUAUCAGAACAGUGGUUUCUUUCUCUACAGAAGAGAAGGUGGUGCAAUUGUACAAAAGAAAAUGUGAAGGUCCAGUUAGAGCUGGAAUAAAAGAAGGGCUAUUGAGUUCUGCACGCUUUGGUUUUUCAAUGUUCUGCUGGUACUAUGCUUAUGCUGUCAGCUUUUAUGCUGGUGCUAGGUUGAUUGAGUCCGGUGAGGUCACAUUUGCUGAGGUUCUUCAGGUUUUCUAUGGCCUCGUCUUUACAGUUAACACGCUUUAUCGAUCAAUCGACCUUGUUCCUGACUCCACCAAAGCCAAAACUGGUGCAUCUUCUAUUUUUGCUCUUCUUGACAGGAAAUCCAAGAUAGACUCGAGUGAUAACUCGAGAAUGACAUUGGACAAUCUGAAGGAAAACAUUGAGUUUCAAUUAUCCAAGUCGACCUUGAUAAAGAAAUAGACAUUGGGCCUAACUCAACUAGCUCAUGAGGGUAGGAUUGCUCAAAGACCAUAUGAGAAACCAAGGAGCCUGUAACCCACCGAUGUGGGACUCUAACACCCCCACACAUCCAAGACUGGACAUCUGGAGCGUGAACAAUAUAAGACGGGGGGCCCAACAUUGAAAACAAUGAGCUGGAUGGGCGUGGCUUUGAUACCAUGAUAAAGAAAUGGACAUUGGGUCUAACUCAACCUCAAAAGCUAGCUCAUGAGGAGAGGAUUGCCCAAGAUCAUAUAAGGAGACCAAGAACCCUUUGACCCACCGAUGUGGGACUCCAACAGACCUGAGGCUCAAGUCCUAAAAGAUCUAUGCCUUGCCAUUAGCUCUGGUCAGGUAAAUAAUAUUCUAUUUACCGCCAUAAUCAUUUUGUGGUCUUAAAACAUAAUUUAUCAACGAUUCUGAUGUAGAAUAUAUGUUUAUGCUGCUCUGGUGGGAGAGAGUGGGAGAGGAAAAUCAACAGCUAUUUCAUUGUUGCAAAGAUUUUACGAUCUGGA